rnacentral:rRNA from 1 species
AGCAGCCGCGGUAAUUCCAGCUCCAAUAGCGUAUAUUAAAGUUGUUGCAGUUAAAAAGCUCGUAGUUGAAUUUCGGGAUUUAUCCGUCGGUCGGGCUUUUGGGUCUGUACUGGCGUGAUGGAUUCCUACCUUCUGAAUAACCGGCAUGUCAUUAAUUUGGUGCGCCGGGGAAGCAGGACUGUUACCUUGAAAAAAUUAGAGUGCUUAAAGCAGGCUUAUGCCUAGAAUACAUUAGCAUGGAAUAAUGAAAUAGGACGGCAUGGUUCUAUUUUGUUGGUUUCUAGGAUCACCGUAAUGAUUAAUAGGGAUAGUUGGGGGCAUUAGUAUUCAAUUGUCAGAGGUGAAAUUCUUGGAUUUAUUGAAGACUAACUACUGCGAAAGCAUUUGCCUAAGGAUGUUUUCAUUAAUCAAGAACGAAAGUUAGGGGAUCGAAGACGAAUCAGAUACCGU